rnacentral:snoRNA from 1 species
AAGCCGGUGAUGAUUGUAUUAUUUUUGUUGGAAUUACCGUCUGAAUUCUUUUGAUGUCAAACAUACUGGCUGCUUUCUGAGGCUUCAC